GGGGGCCCGCACAAGCGGCGGAGCAUGCGGAUUAAUUCGAUGCAACGCGAAGAACCUUACCAAGGCUUGACAUGGACCGGACCGGGCUGGAAACAGUCCUUCCCCUUUGGGGCCGGUUCACAGGUGGUGCAUGGUUGUCGUCAGCUCGUGUCGUGAGAUGUUGGGUUAAGUCCCGCAACGAGCGCAACCCUCGUUCCAUGUUGCCAGCGCGUAAUGGCGGGGACUCAUGGGAGACUGCCGGGGUCAACUCGGAGGAAGGUGGGGACGACGUCAAAUCAUCAUGCCCCUUAUGUCUUGGGCUUCACGCAUGCUACAAUGGCCGGUACAAAGGGUUGCGAUACUGUGAGGUGGAGCUAAUCCCAAAAAGCCGGUCUCAGUUCGGAUUGGGGUCUGCAACUCGACCCCAUGAAGUCGGAGUCGCUAGUAAUCGCAGAUCAGCAACGCUGCGGUGAAUACGUUCCCGGGCCUUGUACACACCGCCCGUCACGUCACGAAAGUCGGUAACGCCCGAAGCCGGUGGCCCAACCCUUGUGGAGGGAGCCGUCGAAGGCGGGAUCGGCGAU
rnacentral:rRNA from 1 species